rnacentral:rRNA from 1 species
CCUACGGGAGGCAGCAGUAGGGAAUAUUGCUCAAUGGGGGAAACCCUGAAGCAGCAACGCCGCGUGAAGGAUGAAGGUUUUCGGAGUGGAAACCCCUUUUUUUAGAGGAGAUAAUGACGGUAUCUAACGAAUAAUCACCGGCUAACUCCGUGCCAGCAGCCGCGGUAAUACGGAGGCAGCAAGCGUUACUCGGAUUAACUGGGCGUAAAGAGCGCGUAGGCGGGAUGGCAAGUCAGAUGUGAAAUCCUAUGGCUUAACCAUAGAACUGCAUUUGAAACUGGUAGUCUGGAGUACAGGAGAGGUAGGCGGAAUUCUUGGUGUAGCGGUAAAAUGCGUAGAGAUCACGAGGAACACUGAUUGCGAAGGCGACCUGCUAGACUACCACUGACGUUGAUGCGCGAAAGUGUGGGGAGCAAACAGGAUUAGAUACCCGUGUAGUC